GGAGAUAAUAUUAUGCACAGGCGCUCUAUGUGCCCAAGCAACACCAACUAAAUCUUGCUGCAACGCUUCAACAAUACCAGCUGGUGGGACGAAGACAAUCCGAAGACCACACUCAAAUUUCAAAGCCUCACUAGCCAUGAAGUCAGCCGCAUGAUCGUACUCCCUAUAAAGAUGGGCAAUCCGCACAUCCCGCUCCUUAUUAGUGAGACACCGACAUACAUGAAUAAGAUUGCUG
rnacentral:lncRNA from 1 species